GACGAACGCUGGCGGCGUGCUUAACACAUGCAAGUCGAGCGGUAAGGCCCUUUCGGGGGUACACGAGCGGCGAACGGGUGAGUAACACGUGGGUGACCUGCCCUCAGCUCUGGGAUAAGCCUGGGAAACCGGGUCUAAUACCGGAUAUGACUCCAUGACGCAUGUUGUGGGGUGGAAAGCCUUGUGCGGCUGAGGAUGGGCCCGCGGCCUAUCAGCUUGUUGGUGGGGUGAUGGCCUACCAAGGCGACGACGGGUAGCCGGCCUGAGAGGGCGACCGGCCACACUGGGACUGAGACACGGCCCAGACUCCUACGGGAGGCAGCAGUGGGGAAUUUUUCGCAAUGGGCGAAAGCCUGACGAAGCAACGCCGCGUGGAGGAUGACGGCCCUCGUGGUCUUAAACUCCUGUCUAGUGGGACGAAAGUAUCCAGGGUGAAUAAUCCUGGGUAUUGACUGUACCGCU
rnacentral:rRNA from 1 species